CCUCAAAGGGGUUGUGUCCCAGAAGGUCGUGGGGCCUCGCGCCCCCCACGGGACCCUUUCCUCAGUCAGUUGAGCAUUCAAAGAGCAACUGUCAUUGCCUCCAGGCUUUUGCCCUGGGGCAGCUGAGCCCUCUCCACUGGUAGGCAGGCUGAGCCACCAGGGCAACGAAAGAUUGACAACUGUAAAGGAAAGGGUGAGGACAACAAGGGAGAUGAAAUCAAGCAGCCUCACUCAGGCUUCCCAGCUUGCCUUGUGCCGGGGUCCUGGAACUGAGCGAGGAGUUGGUGAAGACUCAGGGUAUCCACUGGGAAUACUUUUGAUUGCCCUGGAAAGAAUUUAUGGGAGGACAGAGGAAAGAGUCAGAAAAUAUGAGGAGAUGUCAUUUGGACACAAUCUACACCACUGGUGAAAACUUUCAUGUUGAUAAGAUCACAGAUCUAUUAAAACAGAAAUAUUUGAAACUAUGAAGAACCAUUGUUUACCUGAGCUCUGAAAAUAAUGUUUGAUGGGCUGUUACCUAGCAGGUCAUGUGAUUCCAAAUUUUAAUCUUAGUUGGCAGUUAGAUUGGAAAAAUAAUGGAAUUACCAAAGCCUUAUUCCUCAAUAUUAAUUGUUUAUUUCUAUUUUUAGUGAAGCUAGGAAAACUGGUUUGUGUCUAUUCAAGGUGAUUCUCUUGUGAAUAUCCAUCUGAAGGGCACCAUGUGACCUCCUGUAAUAUAUUGACUUCUGUUAUAGUUAGCUUUGUCUGUCUUAUCCCCUUUUGUUUCCCAUAGCUUCUUCUUGAUACCUUGCAAAUUAUGAGAACUCAAUAAAUGUUUGUUGAAUGAAUUUUGUAUUAUUAGU
rnacentral:lncRNA from 1 species